rnacentral:rRNA from 1 species
AUUGAACGCUGGCGGCAUGCUUUACACAUGCAAGUCGAACGGCAGCGCGGGCUUCGGCCUGGCGGCGAGUGGCGAACGGGUGAGUAAUGCAUCGGAACGUGCCCAGUAGUGGGGGAUAGCCCGGCGAAAGCCGGAUUAAUACCGCAUACGACCUGAGGGUGAAAGCGGGGGACCGAAAGGCCUCGCGCUAUUGGAGCGGCCGAUGUCGGAUUAGCUAGUUGGUGGGGUAAAGGCUUACCAAGGCGACGAUCCGUAGCUGGUCUGAGAGGACGACCAGCCACACUGGGACUGAGACACGGCCCAGACUCCUACGGGAGGCAGCAGUGGGGAAUUUUGGACAAUGGGGGCAACCCUGAUCCAGCCAUGCCGCGUGCGGGAAGAAGGCCUUCGGGUUGUAAACCGCUUUUGUUCGGGAAGAAAUCCUCUGGGCUAAUACCCCGGGGGGAUGACGGUACCGGAAGAAUAAGCACCGGCUAACUACGUGCCAGCAGCCGCGGUAAUACGUAGGGUGCGAGCGUUAAUCGGAAUUACUGGGCGUAAAGCGUGCGCAGGCGGUUGUGCAAGACAGAUGUGAAAUCCCCGGGCUUAACCUGGGAACUGCAUUUGUGACUGCACGGCUAGAGUGCGGCAGAGGGGAGUGGAAUUCCGCGUGUAGCAGUGAAAUGCGUAGAUAUGCGGAGGAACACCGAUGGCGAAGGCAGCUCCUGGGCCUGCACUGACGCUCAU